AACGUAGGUGGCAAGCGUUAUCCGGAUUUACUGGGCGUAAAGGGUGUGCAGGCGGGAGACCAAGUGGUGUAUGAAAUCGCCCGGCUUAACCGGGCAGGGUUAUGCCAGACUGGUUUUCUUGAGGACGAGAGAGGGGCGUGGAAUUCCGGGUGUAGUGGUGGAAAUGCGUAGAGAGUCCGGAGGAACCCCAGAGGCGAAGGCGGCGCCCUGGCUCGUACCGUGACGCUCAUACACGACAGCAUGGGGAGCGAACGG
rnacentral:rRNA from 1 species